UACGUAGGUGGCAAGCGUUGUCCGGAAUUAUUGGGCGUAAAGCGCGCGCAGGCGGUCCUUUAAGUCUGAUGUGAAAGCCCACGGCUCAACCGUGGAGGGUCAUUGGAAACUGGGGGACUUGAGUGCAGGAGAGAAGAGUGGAAUUCCACGUGUAGCGGUGAAAUGCGUAGAUAUCGGGAGGAACACCAGUGGCGAAGGCGACUACCUGGCCUGUUUCUUGACGCUGAGGCGCGAAAGCUAGGGGAGCAAACGGG
rnacentral:rRNA from 1 species